GUUGAGCUGUGAGGAGUGGCCUCAAGAGUCCUUAUAUCUGAACAAAUAAACUGAUGUUUCUUCUUCAGAGGAGUUGGACAGAGAUGGAGCUUCUUCCUCUCGUGUGUUUCUGUCUCCUGACCUGCUCUGGAACAACGUUUGGUGUCGAAGUCACAAAGAUGGGAGUGAAAGAAGAUGAAGACGUCAUUUUACCCUGUUCCUUAGACUCUACCAACAUUCGGUCUGAGACCUUUGACUGGAAGAAAGAUGAUCAGAAGAAUGUGUUCCAGUACAGUGCAGGGACUCAUUAUAAUAACGGACGUUCAGGUCAAGAUCCACAGUUCAAAGGUCAAGUCUUUCAUUUUGAAGAUCAGCUCCAGUCUGGUAAUGCCUCCAUAGUUAUCAGAAACACAAAGGUGACAGACAGUGGAAGGUACAGCUGUAUUUUUCCAUUUCAUCAACCAACGACAAGAUCCAUCAUUGAGCUCAGUGUUGAUUGUAUCUUAAAAGACAGAACGAAGGAAAAUAAACCAGGUACAGCUCCAAAGCCUUUCAUUACACAUCAUCCAGCAAAUAAAGGAGUGUUGCUGCAGUGUGAAGUUCGAGAUGCUUCUCCAAAACCUAAAGUCGUCUGGAAGGACGGAGCUGGAAACAUCCUUCCUGCUGAAGAACCAGAGGUCACAGAAUAUAAAGGCAGAUACAACAUCAUCCUCAAAACUACUGUGACCAAGACCGACUUCUAUCGCUGUGUAUCCACACAAGAGGAAAUCCACCAUGAAGUUUAUACUGACAUAUAUGUGUCUUUUCAGAUGAGAGUGAAAGAAGAUGAAGACGUCACUUUAAACUGUUCCUUAGACUCUACCAACAUUACGUCUGAGACCUUUGUCUGGAAGAAAGAUGAUCAGAAGAAGGUGUUCCAGUACAGUGCAGGGACUCAUUAUAAUAACGGACGUUCAGGUCAAGAUCCACAGUUCAAAGGUCGAGUCUUUCAUUUUGAAGAUCAGCUCCAGUCUGGUAAUGCCUCCAUAGUUAUCAGAAACACAAAGAAGACAGACAGUGGAAGGUACAGCUGUAUUUUUCCAUUUCAUCAGCAAACGACAAGAUCCAUCAUUGAGCUCAGUGUUGGGGACAAAAUAGGAGGUAAGACCUGAUUGUGAUGACGUCACUGAUGAAUGAUCUCACCUGGAUGUGAUGAAACUAAUCACUGAUUAUUGGACACAUUUAUACACCAACAUCUCUUUAGUUUGUACCAGUUUUAAUCCUGUAGAAGGUUUGUAAAUAGUUUUUAUAUAAAUGAAGUGACCUGAAACUAUAGAAAGUACAUUUUUGACGUCUGGAUGAUUCUCAAUACUUUAUUUAUGAUGCACUAAUAUUGAUAAAGGUUUUGGUUUUAGCUGUUGUAGCUGUGUAGGUUAAAAUCAGAUGAUCUUUACGUCUCCAUGUAUCACUGAUGGAGACAUUAUUAAUAUUUUAUACAUAUAUACCAGUGAUGUUCUUUAUUUCCAUUCUAAUGAAUCCAGUUUCAGUCAGUGUUUCUGUAAUGAUCCUCUGACAUUGAUUGAGGCGUCUCAGUCGUCAGUUUCUCCUUCAUAAAAGUACUUCAGUCUAAUUCUACAGCUCUGUAGUGUCUCCUACUGCAGUUUCUGAUGUUUAGUUUCAUGUAUAUGAUGAUUAGGGUGAAUAUUUGUGGAGCUAUGAUAAGACAUUUAUUGUGUAUUAUUAAUUGUGGGAGAUCAGAGUUAUAAGAAGAUUAAUGUGUUGGGAUGGUGAGUUGUAUUUUAUUUGAUUCUUCAAUUCUCCCAUAAUUUCUACCUUUAACUUUAUAAUGUUUUUGUUGUUAAACUGUCAGAAAUGUGUAAACAUGUAUUUAAUAGUGAAGUUAGUGUUGUACUAGAUUAUAUUGUAUUGAGGUGUUUCUAAUAUUGUGGCCAUCCCAUAUUAAUACAUUAGUGGAGCAGAUUAUUAAGAACUCCACUCAGGAUAAAACAACACAACACAUCACUGAUUCUGACCUCAGUAGUUCAACAUACAGUCACUGGCCAGUUUAUUAGGUACAGCAGUGAAUUCAUUCUAAUAUAACAGUCCUGCUCUAAAUCUAGUCUCCAUGAAGGUUCUGGUGUUCAGCUUUAGUUUCUAAUCACUGACACAUGUUCAUUCAACUGUGGUUUCAUUUUGAUACUAUACUAUUUAAUACCUUUGCACUGACACAUGUUCCUAUUGUUCUGACAUUGUAGUCAGUGGCUAGACUAAAUAACAGAAACACUUUAGUGUUUAACUGGUGGAACAGAGGAGGAACUAAAUAUGUGACUCUGAUGUGAACUGAUCCAGAACAGAGUUGAAGUAGUUGAUGAUAAGAACUCAGUGACAUUAGAGACGUCACAGUAGUAGAGUUUAUGAACACAGCAGUGGUAGAGGAGACAUUAGAUGGUAAUGGUGCAGGUGUACCUAAUAAUAUGGCCACUAACUGACACUGAAAGGAUUCAACCCUGACAAUAAAAGAUGUUAAACUUUUUAUCAUCCAUUUCUUAGUGAGUGUUCAUGUUGUUGAGUCAGAAACAGUGUUGUUGCCGUGGUGAUGAGUUAAUAAAUCUGGAGUUAAAUCUGGUUUAAAGUUUAAAUCAAACACUGCUGAGAUGAAUCAGAUGUAAUUAUGAGCUGCUUUUAUAUCCAGAUGUUUUACUGAGUUUCUCUUAAAUAUGUUUUAAGUCACAUAAACCAGCAGAGAAUGGAUGAAAACACUUCAUCACUGAGUUGUGUUUGAAACUGUGCUUCUCAUAAGUUGUUAUUUGUGUUCACAGGUCCUACUCCUGAGCCAACCAAUGGAUCAAACACUAGAUCGAUUAUUGCUGCAGUCGUCAGUGUUCUUCUUGCUCUUGCUGUGGUCGUUAUUAUUGUUCUCUGGGUUAAACUAAAAAACAAACCUGAAGCACUCAGACUAGAGAAAUCUGACAAAGAACUGAUCAACAAUGAAGAGGAGACUAUAGUUCUAUCAUCAGAUAAAACUGAUGGUGACAGAUGUUGAGUGAUUUGUGUGUUUCACCCUCGUUUGCUUCUAUUCUUCUGAAAACUACUUUGAGUUUCAGUGAAAACAUUUGGAAAAAAUUGGGACAUUUUUAUCAGAAUAUUUUCUCAGUCAGAGAAUAGUUUCAUUUUCAUUUAAAUCCAAAAUGUACAGAAUGGAUCCAUGUCACUGAUGUAUGUUUAGUUGUAAAAUGGUGCAUGCUUACAUACACAGCGUCUUUCUCCUUUAGAUAAAGAGGCCUGUUAAAUAUACAGUGAAUGUAUCAGUAAAUAUGAAUUCCUCUGGGUUACACAUGAAGAAAAGGAAAACUUCUGUCAGCUCCUUGAAUUCAUGAUGCUGGUUUCUUGAAAUAUUCAUUUUUAAUUUAAUUUCUAUCCUGUAGAACAAUGAAACAGCUGAUAGUGAAUGAAAUCUAUGAAAGUUCAGCACCUGAGGAGCAGAACUGAUCACUAGUGUUGAAGAUAUUACCUGUAACUUUGUAAAAAUGUAAAUGUCUUGUAUGAAGAGUUAACUGGAGUCAGAGAGAGGACAUGUCUCUAAUACACAAACUGAUGGAAGGUCUCACCAUCGUCAUCAGAGAAGGUUGACAUCAGGUUCAGAGUCUGACUCACUGUUCAUCAAAGAUUAGACACAGAGAAUAUUCAUGAGUUGAAGGUCUUUUAUAUAUUAAUACAAUAUAUCUUAUGUUCUUAUUUUGUGUUCUUGCUUCUUUAAUAUAAAUUAAUCCUUUAUUCCCCACGAUUGUCAGAAGCUGACACAAAAAGUACAGAAAAAUAGAAAAUUAAUCAGAUGUAAUAUUUCCAUCCUCCACUGUUCUCUGACUGUGACGAGUUCCUCAUCUUUAUCGUGGAGAUAAAAAGCAGCUGGAGCUGAUUUUAAGAAUGAAUGAGACGUUACUGAAAACAUGUUUCUGUUUCAUGUGUUAAUGUGUAGAAGGUCCCAGUUUCCUCACCUCUCCACACAUCUGAUGUUUUCAUCUAUUUUAUAUCAGUUCUUCAUCUGCUCUUUUAAUCUGUUUCCUGUUGCAUUUUGUUCACAGACCAACAGUUCUCAUAUAUGGACUGAAACCCAUGAUGUUAAUAAUUGAUCCUUUUGCUUUUAUUAUUUCUUUGCUUUUUGAUCUUUGUCUGUUUUCAGUGUGUUGUAAUCCAAUAAUAUCCAAGAGCACUGAAACCUUAAAGGUUACAUUGAUAUAAAUAUUAUAAUAAUCAUGUGUUCAGUUAGAAAAUAAAAAAUAAAAUGUA